rnacentral:lncRNA from 1 species
UUCUCUUCAUAUGGCCAGCCAAAGCAAGAACAAAGGAAGAAAAGAAAGAACAAGAACCCUAGGGUGAAAAUUCAAGAGAAAAUUGGUGGAUUUCAAGUAAUCAAGCAAUCAAAGGUAAAAUUUCUUGAUUUUGACUUGUGAUCUACCUUUCCCAUACAUUCUUUUGCAUUUUUCAUGGUUGAAUCACAUGAUUUCAUGAUGGGUAUCUUGCUGGCUGAACACUUAGAGAGAGGUUUUGAUGCUUGAUUUGAUUAGAUUUCAAUGUAUUUUAGUGUUUUUAGUUGAUUGGUGAUGUGUAGCAUGAAAAUCAAGCAAGAAAAAUUCAUGUUCUUCCAUCACCCAUCAUUGGCCGAAUUCUCCAUGUGGAAUAUUGAGGAUGAUUUUGAUUUUAUUUCAAGUGAUUUGGUUAGGAAUUAGUGAUUUAUGGUGCGAGAAUCAAGUAGGAAAAAUCAUAGUGUUGAUGCACCCACCAUGGCUGAAUUUUCCAAGAGAAAAUGUGAGGAUGAUUUUGCCAUAUUUCAAGUUAUUUAAUUUGUGUUUGAUGAUUUGGAGUAUUGGGAGAAAAAUGGAAUUAUUUGGAGUUGAAUUGGACGUAUUGGCCAAUUAAUUGGGUGAUAGAUCGAGUUAGGCCAACAUCGCAUGUAGACGAUAAUCCGAACAAUUCACGUUCCAUAUCAUGCAUUCAUAUAGAGUUUAGAUUAGUUUUAUAACAAUUUAGCACCAAUGUGGUAAAUUGCUUGAUUGUGCAUUAUAUCUAGGUGGUGAACAUUCUGGUAAAAGUAAAGAGAUAGUACCCGAAGAUCAAGAAUCGGAGUACUCGAAACUCGAUUUCCAUUCUAGUGAGUAACCUUAUCAUCAUCUUGAUUAUCUGAAGUGAAUUUUAAUUCGUUUUUGUGAUUUUAUGAAAAAUGAGUUUAAAUGGUAAAUCUUUAUGUUUUAAAAGCAAAAUGUGAUUAAAUGAAAUGAUUUUAUAAAAUUGUCUUGAAAUUGAAUGAUGGUUUUGGAAAAUGGAGUAAUUGGAGACUAAUUGCUAUGUUGUAAAUUAUGGUUUGAAUUGAAUGGCUUAUGAUAAUAUUGGCAUGAAUGGUUGGAUUUGGUAAAUGUGUUGAAAAUGUAUGAACUGUUGAUUUGCUUUGAGAGGCUGUAAAAUAAAAUAAUUGCCAUGUCAUGUUAUUGAAUUUUAUUGAAUUGGUGGGUUAUAAAUUGAUCGCUGCAGUGGAUGGGUUCCGUGGACCAGCCUAUUAAAGGGGCAUGGUAACCCUAUUAUAUUCAUACCUCAGUAUGAGAGGCGCGGUUGGAUAACUCUUGAGGUUAAAACUUUAGAGUUCACUUCACUAAACCACCACGUGAGGGUGAACUCAGCCAACGUCAAGGAACGACUAUGUUUUCAGAAUAAAAACAUGAUUUAUGCGUACAUGACUUUUAAAAGCCUUGGCGGACUAGGUUUGGGAUAGCCCUCGGCCAAGGUAUCCUUGAUAACUGAGUAUGAGAAUGAUUUUGGCACGAGCCAAGCUUUUCUAGAAAUCAUAAGUCUCGUUAUUUAUUUGGGUGAAAUGAACCUAUUUUAUCUUAUUAAAAUGAGUUCGAAAUGCUGUGAAUCAUUUUUAUGCUAAUCUAAUUUAUCUGUCUCCAUUUACUCAGUUUUAGAUAUUUUAGAUGAUAUUUGUUUACUCACUGGGAUUAUAUAAUCUCACCACCCUCAUUUCCACCUAUUUCAGGCUCAAGAUAGUCGAUAGAUAGCUCACUUUGUUGAGGGCUACAGUUGGACUUGCAUCCUAAAAAACUAUAGGUUUACCGCUUUUGAUACUUUUGGUUGUUCGUGGGCCCAUGUGUCACUGUAAAUUAAAUUUUAUAGAUUGGUUAUCUAUAUUACAGUAUGUAUGAGUUUUUUUAGCUUUUACGCUACAAAAAUU